ACAACCCCCCAACCCCCUCUUCCUCUCCCCCCAGACAACCCCCGCGGCCCCACCCUCUUCCCGCUGCUCUCCUGCGCCUCCUCCUCCUCCUCCUCCUCGCUCUACGCCGUGGGCUGCGUGGCCGUGGGCUACGUCCCCGGCGGCGUCACCUUCUCCUGGACGGACUCGGGCAACCGCAGCGUGGCCGCCGCCGCCUUCCCAGAAGCCCGCGGGGCCGGGGGCAACAUGGCCGCCAGCCGGCUGGAGCUGCCGCUGCAGGAGGGGAAGGGGCGGCAGCCCUUCUACUGCCGCGCCGCCAACCCGCGGGGCAGCGCCGUGGUGGAGAUCAGGAACCCCGGCCCCCUGCCCCCCCCCACCCCCGCCGUCCUCUCCAUCCACCCGCCGUCCCGGGAGGACUUCGAGGGCCCCUACAGGAACUCCAGCCUCCUCUGCCGUGUCCAUGGGCCUCGUGGCCUCACCGCCAUCUCCUGGCUGAAGAACGGCUCCCCCGUCACCUCCGGGGCCGUCACCACCGGCGCCGUGACCGACGGCACCAACGCCUACGUCACCGACAGCCGGCUCGACGUCACCGAGGCCGAGUGGGACGCCGGCACCAUCUACACCUGCCAGGCGGACGGGGAGAUGAGGAACACCAGCAAGUCCCUGGAGUGCGGCUGUAAGUGAUGACCUCACCCUUAUUUUGGGGG